UAGGGAAUAUUGGUUAAUGUGCGAAAGCGCGAACCAGCAACGCCGCGUGUGCGAUGAAGGCCUUCGGGUCGUAAAGCACUUUUUGCAGGGACGAGGAAGGACGGUACCUGCAGAACAAGUCUCGGCUAACUACGUGCCAGCAGCCGCGGUAAAACGUAGGAGACGAGCGUUAUCCGGAUUUACUGGGCGUAAAGCGCGUGCAGGCGGCAUGGCAAGUUAGAUGUGAAAGCUCCCGGCUUAACUGGGAGAGGUCGUUCAAUACUGCCAGGCUUGAGAGUGGUGGAGGGAGGCGGAAUGCCGGGUGUAGUGGUGAAAUGCGUAGAUAUCCGGAGGAACAGCAGUGGCGAAAGCGGCUGCCUGGCCCAUUUCUGACGCUCAGACGCGAAAGCUAGGGU
rnacentral:rRNA from 1 species